rnacentral:rRNA from 1 species
AGAACGAACGUUGAUGGCGUGCCUCAUACAUGCAAGUCGAGCGGGUAGCAAUACCAGCGGCGGACGGGUGAGUAACACGUAAACAAUCUGCCCUGAAGCGGGGGAACAACUAUCCCAACGGAUAGCUAAUACCGCAUAAUGAUGGAGACGGCAUCGUCUUUUCUCAAAAGGCUUCGGCCACUUCAGGAUGAGUUUGCGUCCCAUUAGCUUGUUGGCGGUGUAAUAGACCACCAAGGCGACGAUGGGUAUCCGGCCUGAGAGGGUGUACGGACACAUUGGGACUGAGAUACGGCCAGACUCCUACGGGAGCAGCAGUAGGAAUUUG